AACGCUAGCUACAGGCUUAACACAUGCAAGUCGAGGGGAAACGACAUCGAAAGCUUGCUUUUGAUGGGCGUCGACCGGCGCACGGGUGAGUAACGCGUAUCCAACCUGCCCACCACUUGGGGAUAACCUUGCGAAAGUAAGACUAAUACCCGAUGAUAUCUCUAGACGACAUCUGAAAGGGAUUAAAGAUUUAUCGGUGAUGGAUGGGGAUGCGUCUGAUUAGCUUGUUGGCGGGGUAACGGCCCACCAAGGCGACGAUCAGUAGGGGUUCUGAGAGGAAGGUCCCCCACAUUGGAACUGAGACACGGUCCAAACUCCUACGGGAGGCAGCAGUGAGGAAUAUUGGUCAAUGGGCGAGAGCCUGAACCAGCCAAGUAGCGUGCAGGAAGACGGCCCUAUGGGUUGUAAACUGCUUUUAUAGGGGAAUAAAGUGAGCCACGUGUGGUUUUUUGCAUGUACCCUAUGAAUAAGGACCGGCUAAUUCCGUGCCAGCAGCCGCGGUAAUACGGAAGGUCCGGGCGUUAUCCGGAUUUAUUGGGUUUAAAGGGAGCGUAGGCCGGAGAUUAAGCGUGUUGUGAAAUGUAGACGCUCAACGUCUGCACUGCAGCGCGAACUGGUUUCCUUGAGUACGCACAAAGUGGGCGGAAUUCGUGGUGUAGCGGUGAAAUGCUUAGAUAUCACGAAGAACUCCGAUUG
rnacentral:rRNA from 1 species